UACCAGCACCCCGAGUGGUCGGGACGAUUAUUGGGCCUAAAGCAUCCGUAGCCGGUUCUACAAGUCUUCCGUUAAAUCCAACUGCUUAACAGGUGGGCUGCGGAAGAUACUAUAGAGCUAGGAGGCGGGAGAGGCAAGCGGUACUCGAUGGGUAGGGGUAAAAUCCGUUGAUCCAUUGAAGACCACCAGUGGCGAAGGCGGCUUGCCAGAACGCGCUCGACGGUGAGGGAUGAAAGCUGGGGGAGCAAACCGG
rnacentral:rRNA from 1 species